ACAGGAGUAGCUUGCUAUUUGCUGACGACCGGCGCACGGGUGCGUAACGCGUAUAGAAUCUACCUUAUACUGGGGGAUAGCCUUUGGAAACGAAGAUUAAUACCCCAUAGUAUUAUUUUUUGGCAUCAUUAAAUAAUUAAAGUUUUGGCGGUAUAAGAUGACUAUGCGUUCUAUUAGUUAGUUGGUAAGGUAACGGCUUACCAAGACUUCGAUAGAUAGGGGUCCUGAGAGGGAGAUCCCCCACACUGGUACUGAGACACGGACCAGACUCCUACGGGAGGCAGCAGUGAGGAAUAUUGGACAAUGGAGGCAACUCUGAUCCAGCCAUGCCGCGUGUAGGAAGACUGCCCUAUGGGUUGUAAACUACUUUUAUAUGGGAAGAAUAAGGUCUACGUGUAGAUUGAUGACGGUACCAUAAGAAUAAGCACCGGCUAACUCCGUGCCAGCAGCCGCGGUAAUACGGAGGGUGCAAGCGUUAUCCGGAAUCAUUGGGUUUAAAGGGUCCGUAGGCGGGCAUAUAAGUCAGUGGUGAAAGUCUGUGGCUCAACCAUAGAAUUGCCAUUGAUACUGUAUGUCUUGAAUUAUUGUGAAGUGGUUAGAAUAUGUAGUGUAGCGGUGAAAUGCUUAGAGAUUACAUAGAAUACCGAUUGCGAAGGCAGAUCACUAACAAUAUAUUGACGCUGAUGGACGAAAGCGUAGGUAGCGAACAGGAUUAGAUACCCUGGUAGUCUACGCCGUAAACGAUGGAUACUAGUUGUUUGGUUUUCGGACUGAGUGACUAAGCGAAAGUGAUAAGUAUCCCACCUGGGGAGUACGUUCGCAAGAAUGAAACUCAAAGGAAUUGACGGGGGCCCGCACNAGCGGUGGAGCAUGUGGUUUAAUUCGAUGAUACGCGAGGAACCUUACCAGGGCUUAAAUGUAGUCUGACAGCUUUAGAGAUAGAGUUUUCUUCGGACAGAUUACAAGGUGCUGCAUGGUUGUCGUCAGCUCGUGCCGUGAGGUGUCAGGUUAAGUCCUAUAACGAGCGCAACCCCUGUGGUUAGUUGCCAGCGAGUAGUGUCGGGAACUCUAGCCAGACUGCCGGUGCAAACCGUGAGGAAGGUGGGGAUGACGUCAAAUCAUCACGGCCCUUACGUCCUGGGCCACACACGUGCUACAAUGGUAGGGACAGAGAGCAGCCACUUAGCGAUAAGGAGCGAAUCUAUAAACCCUAUCUCAGUUCGGAUUGGAGUCUGCAACUCGACUCCAUGAAGCUGGAAUCGCUAGUAAUCGGAUAUCAGCCAUGAUCCGGUGAAUACGUUCCCGGGCCUUGUACACACCGCCCGUCAAGCCAUGGAAGCUGGGGGUNCCUGAAGUCCGUC
rnacentral:rRNA from 1 species